rnacentral:rRNA from 1 species
ACGCACGCUGGCGGCGUGCUUAACACAUGCAAGUCGAACGGAAAGGCCCUGCUUUUGUGGGGUGCUCGAGUGGCGAACGGGUGAGUAACACGUGAGUAACCUGCCUUUGACUUUGGGAUAACUUCAGGAAACUGGGGCUAAUACCGGAUAGGAGCUCCUGCUGCAUGGUGGGGGUUGGAAAGUUUCGGCGGUUGGGGAUGGACUCGCGGCUUAUCAGCUUGUUGGUGGGGUAGUGGCUUACCAAGGCUUUGACGGGUAGCCGGCCUGAGAGGGUGACCGGCCACAUUGGGACUGAGAUACGGCCCAGACUCCUACGGGAGGCAGCAGUGGGGAAUAUUGCACAAUGGGCGGAAGCCUGAUGCAGCAACGCCGCGUGCGGGAUGACGGCCUUCGGGUUGUAAACCGCUUUCGCCUGUGACGAAGCGUGAGUGACGGUAAUGGGUAAAGAAGCACCGGCUAACUACGUG